AAGAGAGAGUUCAAGAGUACGUGAAACCGUUCAGGGGUAAACCUGAGAAACCCAAAAGAUCGAAUGGGGAGAUUCAUCGUCAGCUCAUUUUGUAUAUGUAUGAUUUACGAUGCGGGUUACUACUUGUAGUAUCGCCUGCACGUUCUUGUACAUUUAUUUGCAUUAUGUUGUCGGCGUGCACUUCUCCCCUAGUAGGACGUCGCGACCCGUUGAGUGUCGGUCUACGGCCCAAUUGAGAGCCUUUGAUGUUUUACAACAUUAAAGAUCAUUGGUGUAUUCUGACCGGCUAUUCGGCGGUAUUCGUACGGUAUUAAGCCGCAAUUUUUUUUUGCGUUCAUACCCGUCGCAAGCGAGGCCAAUUUCUAGUAGUGCGGACCUAGUGCCGUCGCUAGUAUUGGCCAGCUGUUGGUUGUACGGUGUUCUAGAACUGGCUAAUUAUUACCGGUCGGCGAUGCUACUGCUUUGGGUACUUUCAGGACCCGUCUUGAAACACGGACCAAGGAGUCUAACAUGUGCGCAAGUCAUUGGGAUUUUUAAAAAUUUAAACCUAAAGGCGUAAUGAAAGUAAAGGUCGUCCUUGCGUCGAUCGAGGGAGGAUGAGUUAUGUCAAGAUAUAGCUCCGCACUCCCGGGGCGUCUCA
rnacentral:rRNA from 1 species